rnacentral:rRNA from 1 species
GACGAACCGUGCGACCGUUGUUCGGAAUUACUGGGCGUAAAGGGCUUGUAGGUGGCCAACUAAGUCAGACGUGAAAUCCCUCGGCUUAACCGGGGAACUGCGUCUGAUACUGGAUGGCUUGAGUGUGGGAGAGGGAUGCGGAAUUCCAGGUGUAGCGGUGAAAUGCGUAGAUAUCUGGAGGAACACCGGUGGCGAAGGCGGCAUCCUGGACCAUUACUGACACUGAAAAGCGAAAGCCAGGGGAGCAAACGGG